rnacentral:rRNA from 1 species
GAGACUCUGUGCGCGUGCAUAUCAAUAAGCGGAGGAAAAGAAACUAACAAGGAUUCCCCUAGUAACGGCGAGUGAAGCGGGAAGAGCUCAAAUUUGAAAUCUUAAAGGGGUUUCCCUUUACGAAUUGUAGUUUAAAGAAGUGUUUUCUGUUGGAGUUUCGGUAAAAGUUCUUUGGAAUAGGACAUCAUAGAGGGUGAGAAUCCCGUAUUUGACCGUUACUUUCCAGCUGUGUGAUACACUUUCAAAGAGUCGGAUUGUUUGGGAAUGCAGUCCAAGAUGGGUGGUAAAUUUCAUCUAAAGCUAAAUAUAGGCGAGAGACCGAUAGCGAACAAGUACCGUGAGGGAAAGAUGAAAAGAACUUUGAAAAGAGAGUUAAACAGUACGUGAAAUUGUCAAAAGGGAGGCGUUUGACACCAGUGUUGUUUAGUUGAAAAUCAAUUCAAUAGUUUUUGAUUCUAAGUAGUAUUGACUUCAUCAGCUUGCUGCUUUCUUCUCAGGAAAUUAUUGAAUGCACUUUUCAGUUAACAAGUCAACAUCAAUUUCUUUUGUUGUAAAAGGGUAAGAGGAAGGUGGUUUAGCGCUUCGGCGUAAGUGUUUAUAGCCUUUUACCUCUGCAAUCGGAGAGAUUGAGGACAGCAGCGUAGACUCUUCGGGGUUAGAUACACUUGUGCUAAGCUAUAGCCUUGUAUAGACAACUUGUUGACUAUGCUCAGUCAUGUAGCUUACUCGCUUGUGCUACUUUACCUACGCUUAGGAUGUUGAAUCUGUGCGAGACUAC